CCGGGUUGCGGACAGUGUCUGGUGGGUAGUUUGACUGGGGCGGUCUCCUCCUAAAGAGUAACGGAGGAGCACGAAGGUUGGCUAAUCCUGGUCGGACAUCAGGAGGUUAGUGCAAUGGCAUAAGCCAGCUUGACUGCGAGCGUGACGGCGCGAGCAGGUGCGAAAGCAGGUCAUAGUGAUCCGGUGGUUCUGAAUGGAAGGGCCAUCGCUCAACGGAUAAAAGGUACUCCGGGGAUAACAGGCUGAUACCGCCCAAGAGUUCAUAUCGACGGCGGUGUUUGGCACCUCGAUGUCGGCUCAUCACAUCCUGGGGCUGAAGUAGGUCCCAAGGGUAUGGCUGUUCGCCAUUUAAAGUGGUACGCGAGCUGGGUUUAGAACGUCGUGAGACAGUUCGGUCCCUAUCUGCCGUGGGCGCUGGAGAACUGAGGGGGGCUGCUCCUAGUACGAGAGGACCGGAGUGGACGCAUCACUGGUGUUCGGGUUGUCAUGCCAAUGGCACUGCCCGGUAGCUAAAUGCGGAAGAGAUAAGUGCUGAAAGCAUCUAAGCACGAAACUUGCCCCGAG
rnacentral:rRNA from 2 species